AUACUUUAAGAAUCACAAUAACAAUUGGUUUCUCUUGCACAGAUCCUGUUCUAUCAACCACAAAAGCUCUGGGGUGAGCAGGGUUGGGGUGCUGAGCCCACAACCACAUGAGAUGAAGAUUCCGAAGGACAGGACCUUUCAGCAAGCAAACCGCAGACAAGGCUCAAAGAUCUCUUUGACCCCUGUGUGGACAACAGAUCAGAAGAAGCAGAGAGCCUGGCUGGGAGGCGACUGCAAGGAGAGCUCCGCUUGGAAAACAGAGGGACAAAUUGGAUGCAGAUCUGCUUGUUCUGAUACCUAAGCAUGGCUUGGAAAAUGAAUUACCAGGCAAGUCAGUGGUUCAUUCCAUUAGCUCUUCAUAAGACAUUGCUUCGUAACUGCCUGCUGGGGAAGCCUCCCAAGGGAGGGGCUUUGCAGUCUUCGCAGUCUGAUUACCAGAGUUGGUGGCCUGGCCAACCCUGGGGACAUACGUGGG
rnacentral:lncRNA from 1 species